UUACCAUGUAUCAAGAGGUAUUCACACUAUCAAUUAGGCAAUUAUCAUUCUACACACAGGCAGUAAUAAAGAGAGUAAAAAACCACAGUGAUGUCUCAGGAUACCAAUGUACCUCCAGAAGACUCCAGUGGGUCCAGAAGCCCUUUGGAUACUGAUCAGAGGCUCCUUUUGGGCAGAGAUCACAGCAGCAGCCACCAGUUCCGCAGGCUGGGAAGUCCAAAAUCAAGAGGCCUCUGGAGAGGGUAUUCCUACUACAUUCUCACAUGGAGGCCGCGUGGUCUCUACUGCUCCGCCCUGGUCAGGAGGAGAAAGAAGAGGGCCAGGCGCCAUGUGCCCGCACUCUCCCUGGAUGCUGGAGGCCGGUCCGCCCUAGGCAGGAGGAGAAGGAAGAGAACUGGGUGCUGCCCACCUGCACUCUCCCUGGAUGCUGGAGGCUGGAGGCAGUGAGGCAGCAACAGCACAAGGCGACUUUGGAGCGGCCUAAUAUAGCUACCUAGCCUUCCGCUGUGCCUCCUCCCAGAGCCCAAGAAGCCUGGAACUUGUGGCAUCCAGCGCUUAAAGGAGGAGAGGGCAACCCAGCCAAGGGUGAGUCCGGGAGUCUGGGGUGCCAGCGGCAGAGGGAGGCCAGGCAGGAGUCUCGGCCUCCCAGGGAGUGGCGUGCAGGGAAAGGCAGGAGGGCCCCAGCGGCAGGAGGGGUUACGGGCCGGGGAGGGAGGCCUCAGGCUGGGAGCCCAAUAGACCGUCUGAC
rnacentral:lncRNA from 1 species